UACAGAGGGGGCAAGCGUUGUUCGGAAUUACUGGGCGUAAAGGGCGCGUAGGCGGCCCGCUAAGUCGAACGUGAAAUCCCCAGGCUCAACCUGGGAACUGCGUCCGAUACUGGCAGGCUUGAAUCCGGGAGAGGGAUGUGGAAUUCCAGGUGUAGCGGUGAAAUGCGUAGAUAUCUGGAGGAACACCGGUGGCGAAGGCGGCAUCCUGGACCGGUAUUGACGCUGAGGCGCGAAAGCUAGGGGGAGCAAACGGG
rnacentral:rRNA from 1 species